GAUGAAGAACGUAGCGAAAUGCGAUAAGUAAUGUGAAUUGCAGAAUUCAGUGAAUCAUCGAAUCUUUGAACGCACAUUGCGCCCGCUAGUAUUCUGGCGGGCAUGUCUGUUCGAGCGUCAUUUCAACCAUCAAGCCCUGUUUAGGCUUGUGUUGGGGCCCUGCGGCUGCCGCAGCCCCCUAAAUGCAGUGGCGGGCUCGUUGUCACUCCGAGCGCAGUAGCGUAUCUCGCUCUGGGCGUGGCGGCGGGUGCUAGCCGUGAAACACCCACUAAGGUUGACCUCGGAUCAGGUAGGAAUACCCGCUGAACUUAAGCAUAUCAAUAAGCGGAGGA
rnacentral:misc_RNA from 1 species